UGACUUUGUUAAUCAAGAGAUCAUUAGUAAUAACUGGUUUGAGUUACUUGCAGGAGAAGAAAUCAAUUUAUUAUAUGUUGACAUAUAAAAAUUGAGGUAAUAUAAGUAGGUAGAGAAGAAAUUUGGAAAGAGAAGAGAAAAAAGGAUACAUACUAAGUGAAUAGUUGAUUCAUGUUUUAAAUUGAAUACACAGUGUGUGUAAUAAGAUACAAACUGUUCCAAGUUACAGUAGUUAUUAAAUUUUGAAUGAAGCACUAUUGUGACAUAAGCAAAGUCAAUUUGAUCAGUUACAUUGGGUAUAUCUUCUGUUCUUUGUGAUAUACAAAAGUAGCUGCCAAUCAUUAAGCUAGUCUCUAAUAAACUUACUACUAAGUUUUAAAGAAAGCAGCUUUUAGAUCAAAAUCUGGCAGAUACUUACAAGCAGGCACAGGUAGUUCCUACGUGAUGUUUGCUAAGCUUACAGAAGUCCCAAAUCUCUGUCCACUCAAGGGAUCUGACUUUCCUUACAACAGAGUUUCAUUCAAGGCAUCAAGGCAGUAUGCUAGCAGUAGGAUGUAUGACUUAACAUCUGCAUAAUUACACAAGAAUCUUCUGAAUCUUUGGUUAACCACUGACUCUUCAGGAAUCCUCUUUCAGGCUCCUCUGCUGAGUAUACAAGCACCAAGAUUUAAUACUUUUUUUUCAAGAAAGAGUGAGUAAACCAUCUAGAAUAUUUCUGGCAAUCAAAUAUCUUGAAUAAUUCCUAUUUUCUCUAUUAAGAACACAUUUCUAACAUUCAUUAUAUGAAUACUAAGCUUCAGCAUUCAUCAAUGAAAUCACAUUUUUUGAAAUUCAUAAUGUUAAUUAAGAAAUGUAUUGUAUUUCCUGAGAUUUAGAAAGCAGAUGUUUCUGCCUUAGCUAGCCCCUGCAGGGUGCCAGGCCUGGGGUGAAUGGUCUUGAUAGGGACAAUCCAUCAUACCAAAGGUGUCAUUUAAGACAACUAUGUAUUACAUUUCAUGUUCUCUAAGGUGAAACAUUUUAAAGUAAAUUAUAAACAAGCCUUGUCCAGUAGAUAUUUCGAACAUUAUAUUCUUAAAAUUUUCCAUGCUAAAGUAUUUCAAAACCAAUAACAUUAGUAAUAAUUCUUUAGUGAGUUAUAAUAUUUGGACUACAUUUAUAUUUUUUCCUCUUCCACUGACUCCCCAUAUAUCUUUUGCAGCUGAUCAGUCCAAACCAGGUUAUAUUUUGCAUCUGGUUUUUAAACCUUUUAAUUACUUUGUUUUCAAUCUUCAAUAGGCUUUCUUCCUUUGGUUGCUUUGAUCUUUUCUGUGGGAUUUUUUACUUUCUAAUUCGUCUGAUUCCUCUUUAGAGUACUGCUUAGAUAAUUGCUUUAUUCCUGUUAUUCCUCUAGCCUGAAAGUCAAGUCUCUCAUAGAGAAGAUGUCUAUAUAACUAAUCAGAUUCACCUACACGAUCCAAAUAUCUCUGUGUUUGAGGGAGACAAGUUGGUGGUAAAAGUGAGGCAGUUGUCAGAUGUACCCAGUCCUGACUCAGCCAUCUUCUUUUCUUUAAAUUCUUUUUUUUUUAUCUUUAUUUUUAAGAGAGAGAGAGACAGUGUGAGUGGCAGAGGGGCUGGCAGAGCAGGAGACACAGAAUCCGAAGCAGGCUCCAGGUUCUGAACUGUCAGCACAGAGCCCGAUGCAGGGCUCAAACCCACAAACCGCGAGAUCAUGACCUGAGCUGAAGUCUGAUGCUUAACCGACUGAGCCACCCAGGCGCCAUAUGACUCAGCCACCUUCUACCUUGCACUACAUGUCUAUGUCCGCAACAUUCAAGUCAAAAUGACUGUAUACCAGUGGUGGCUACUUGUGGACCCAAUAAUCAUGAGCAUCAAGUCUAAGGAUGGCAGAGAAGUAGGAUGAAAGACCUGAGUCCUUGAGGGCCACUAGAACAACACCAGGAGAGCUGAUCCCUGGACAUCUUGUUAGAGGAAUUACACAUGUCCUAUGGUUUAAGUAUAAUGAUGUUUCGUGGAGCAAAAAAUGAGAAGACUUUUAAGAACUUUCAAAACUUCUGCAAAACAGCAACUUCUGCAAAGAAACUGGGACUAUUUGAAAAUAUUUACACCAACCUUAAACCGACAGCGUGAAAAGGUAGAACAUUUUCAGAACAUUUCAGGUAGAAAUGUGUCAGAACAUUUAUUAUUUAAAUAAUCAUAUAACACACUGCACUCUAAUGAUAAGAAUUCUGAAAUUUAUGGCUUGAGACUCUGGUAAAUAGAAACUACUCAAAAAACCAACUGGGGUAUGGGGCACUUGGGUGGUUCGGUUGGUUGAACAUCUGACUUUGAUUUUGGGUCAGGUUUUCAU